UACGGAGGGUCCAAGCGUUAUCCGGAUUUAUUGGGUUUAAAGGGUGCGUAGGUGGUUUAUUAAGUCAGGGGUGAAAGACGGCAGCUUAACUGUCGCAGUGCCUUUGAUACUGAUGAACUUGAAUGAACUAGAGGUAGGCGGAAUGUGACAAGUAGCGGUGAAAUGCAUAGAUAUGUCACAGAACACCAAUUGCGAAGGCAGCUUACUAUGGUUUUAUUGACACUGAGGCACGAAAGCGUGGGGAUCAAACAGG
rnacentral:rRNA from 1 species